UUUUUCUUGUUGGGGUAAACAUGUGGGGGAAUUAUGACGGAAUCCCAACGCGGUCUGGACUCACCUCAGCAGCAUAGGCUGUUGGGGCCACCCCCGCUGAAUUAUUCACCCGUGUCUUUUGCGUACUUCUUGUUUCCUUGGUGGGCUCGCCCACCACAAGGACAAACCAUAAACCUUUUGUAAUUGCAAUCAGCGUCAGUAACAACAUAAUAAUUACAACUUUCAACAACGGAUCUCUUGGUUCCGGCAUCGAUAAAGAACGCAGCGAAAUGCGAUAAGUAGUGUGAAUUGCAGAAUUCAGUGAAUCAUCGAAUCUUUGAACGCACAUUGCGCCCUUUGGUAUUCCAAAGGGCAUGCCUGUUCGAGCGUCAUUUGUACCCUCAAGCUUUGCUUGGUGUUGGGCGUCUUGUCUCCAGUUUGCUGGAGACUCGCCUUAAAGUCAUUGGCAGCCGGCCUACUGGUUUCGGAGCGCAGCACAAGUCGCGCUCUCUUCCAGCCAAGGUCAGCAUCCAUAAAGCCUUUUUUCAACUUUUGACCUCGGAUCAGGUAGGGAUACCCGCUGAACUUAAGCAUAUCAAUAAGCCGGAGAGAAGUCCUU
rnacentral:rRNA from 1 species